rnacentral:rRNA from 1 species
GAUGAACGCUAGCUACAGGCUUAACACAUGCAAGUCGAGGGACCGGCGCACGGGUGAGUCACACGUAUCCAACCUGCCCUUUACUCGGGGAUAGCCUUUCGAAAGAAAGAUUAAUACCCGAAAUAAAGAAUGGUGAUUCUUUCCAUUAGGUUGUUGGUGAGGUAACGGCCCACCAAGCCUUCGAUGGAUAGUGGUUCGGAGAGGAAGGUCCCCCACAUUGGAACUGAGGCACUGUCCAAACUCCUACGGGGGACAGCAGUGAGGAAUAUUGGUCACUGGGCGUUAGCCUGAACCAGCCAAGUAGCGGGAAGGGUGCAGGCUUAGGAGUCGUAUGUUUCUUUUAUAUAAGAAUCUGUAUUUAAUCAGUAAGGAUCGGCUAACUCCGUGCCAGCCGCCGCGGUAAUAC